ACUGGUUUUGAUUUUGGCCUCUGAGAGAUUUCGUGUUCCCUUGAGAGUGGCCAAGGAAAUCAAAUGGCUCUCAGUGACAAUGACAGCAAAGAAUUAAAGAAAAAUGAGUGAAACAUUGCCUGGAGGAAAAUGUAAAGAUCUAGAAUUAGGAUUCAUUAGACUUGAAAACUAUAAUUUUAUGCCACUGACUUGCUUGCUACCCUAAAACCAGCCAGGCUGUUCCAUGAAGAAGUAGAUACUGAAGUGUUGCUGCAAGGGAAGAAUUGUAGCACAGUGAAUGCAAAAGCAACAAACUCUCGAGCUGACUUAGCCACCCCUGAAUCCCAGCCGCAGCACUGCAUGACUGUAUGUGAGUCACGCUGCCUCUCCAAGCUUCAGCUU